UGACAAUUCACUAAUUUUUAACCAACUCUCACGUGGCCCUCUCCCUCAUCUCUCUUACUUAUAAACACACAAGGACACACACAAAAAAGGAGGAUAGAAAAAGGGGGGAUCGGGGAAACAAAAAAAUAGAGAAAAACACAUAAAGAAAAUUGGAGGGAAAACGCAGAGGAGGAGCAGCUGAAAAUUUUCCAUUCUCUCUAGUCGGCCUCUCUUCCUCAUAACAGCAGCUCAAAACCCUUCUUCCCCCUGUAAAAACCAUCUCUAAAAGUUUCAGAACCCACCUGAAAUCCAGCCUUAAAGCUCAACGAAACAACCUUAAACCACCGAAAAUAUCACCCCAAACCAAUGCGAAAAAUCAACUCGAAAUCACCAUCCAAAUCUGAUCGAGCUGAGUCAUUCGGAGUUGCGAUUCCGGUUCGAGUUUAUGGUCCGUAGCUCGCUUGAGAACUGCUGUUUUUGGAUAUUCUUUUGCACUGUACAUGUUGGAAAAUUUUCAGCAAUUAAGGUCCAUUCUUUUCUCUAUGUACUAUUUCUUUCUUUCUUUUUUUGGAAUUUUUCUUCCAUGAACGUGAUUAUGAAUAUGAUGCCAUGGUUUUCUUGCGUAGGAGUGAAAGAUUUAUUCUCCAUUUCUAUUUUCAAAUAUUGAAUCAUGCUUUAAAUGUUCAUAUGUGAAUUCUUUCUGGUUGUCAUGUUUUGGAUAAUAUCUAGUGAGAUAAUUUUGGUAUUGCUGCAACGAUAAUUUACUUGGGGGAAACCCAACAGUUCAUUAGAAUUAGGAUUUUGAGCUAACUCUGAUUUAGAUAACUAAUGGGCCGUGGAUUUUGCUUUAAUGAUAUUGGGCCGUCUUAAGUUUAGUAUUGGGUCUAUAAUUUGAAAAUAGAGCAGAUCUGGAUCCUAUCAUGAUUUAAGUUGAAUGGGUUGCAGUUUCAUUUAGUCAAAAGGAUGGGCUUUGGACUUCUGUUGUCGUUAAUCCCAAAAUACAGCAUGCUAAGUUAUAUUUAGCGACUUGUUGAUAAUAGCUAAGUCACACCUCUUCCACAAACAAUCUCAUAUCCAUAAACUCUUGGCCUUACAAUAAUAUCAAAGUAGGAAAAAUAAUUCAUGAAUACUUUAGUAUGCUUUUAGAAACGCUCUUAAAUAAUCAAAUUAUCGUGAUUAUGUAUACGUUCGCGUGACAUAAUUACGAUAUUCAAAAUUAAAAUUAAGGUAUGCGUUCGCGCAACUUUGGACACAAUAAUCGUAAUAAUAAAGUGUUACUAAUUGUGUACGUGUACGCGUGACAUGAAAGACGGACGGACACACACACACGUGGUUCGUUUCAAGAUAAUUUCAUAACGCCAUAUAUUAAAAGCGGUAAAAAGGUAAAUGUACAUAGGUUCUAAAACUAGUAAUUAAGCAAUUUAAUUAAGCCAAGUAUGAUUAAAGCGGCCGUGCUAAAACCCCGAAAUCCGGAAAUGCCUAACACCUUCUCCCGGGUUAACAGAAUUCCUUACCCGAUUUUCUGAUUUCGCAAACUUUAAGACGGAGUCAAAAUUUUCCUCGAUUUGGGAUUUAAAAUAAACCGGUGAUUUGGGACACCAUAACAAAUAUUUCAAGUGGCGACUCUAAGAUUAAAUAAAUAAUCCUAUUUCGAAUAAUGUCACUUUAAUUGGAAAAACUCCCAUAUCCCCUCGGAAAAAAAGAUGUGUGACAGCUCUAGAGUUAUGAAAACUUUGUUUAUGUAUGAUUCAAGCAUAUGAUGUAUUUACUUUACACUAGCUAUGUAAACUCUAAAUCUUAGAAACUCGUGAUUUGUACUAUCAAUCCUUGGGAAAUGUCUAAGAUUCAUAUAUUUUCUUUUAUUUAUUUGUCUCAUUAAAUUUUAUUGGAAUUGGUUUAUUGUCAAUUGGCUUACCUAGCGGAUUGGGUUAGGUGCCAUCAUGAUUAGUUGGAUUUUGGGUCGUGGCAUCUCUAUACUCACUCGAGGACGAACGUUUAUUUAAGAGGGGGAGAAUGUAAUGACUCAUUCGGUCGUUUUGAGUAUAUUAGUCCCAUUUUCCCUAUUUGAUGCUUUACGUGUGUGUAUUUAUGAUUACGUGAUUUACGGGGUUGAUUGGUGUGGUUUCAGAAAAGUUUUAGAUUAAUUUGGGACACUUAGUCCCUUGGUUGAAGGCUUAAGUUGUAAGAAUUGACCGGAGUUUGACUUUUGUGUAGACACUCCAAAAUAGUAUUUUGAUGGUUUCGAUAGCUUCUUAUGGUAAUUUUGGACUUAGACGUAUGUCCGGAUUUGAAUUUGGAGGUUUCAGGUUGUUUUGGCUUGAAUUAGCGAAAGUUGGAAAAUUGAUGGUUUGGAAGGUUGAUAGUUUGACCGAGGGUUGACUUUGUUGAUAUCAGAUUCAGAUUGUGGUUUCGGGAGUUGGUAUAGGUAAUUUAUUUUAUUUGGGGCUUGCAUACAAAAUUUGAGGUCAUUCGGAGUUGUUUAGGUUUGUUCGGCGUAAGUUUUGAAAUUGAAAACUUAGAUUAGUUCAUUAGGCUUGAAUUGAUGUGUGAUUCGUAUUUUUUAUGUUAUUUAUUGUGAUUUGAGACCUCAAGUAGGUUCGUGUUAUGUUUUGGGAUUGGUUGGUGUGUUUGGACGGGGUUCCGGUGGCCUCGGGUGUAUUUCGGAUGGGCUACGGGUCAUUUCAUCAUAUUUGGACUAGGGCUGUUCAAAAUCGAACAGUAACCGUUAACCGGACCGAACCGAUGGUUUAUUGGCUUAUUGGUAUCGGCUUAUUAGGGUAAUGGAUGGUGAACGGAUUGAGAUUUUAUAAUUAACAGCUUAACGGUUUGAGGGCAGAUUACUCAAUUUUCUUAUCGGAUAAACCGUUAAACCGUUAAGAAUUUUUAUAUUUACACUUUUACCCUUAUGUAUAUUAAGUACUAUUUAGCCUUCACGGGUGAGCCCCACAUCUUUCUCAUGGUGUUCAAGAGUUUCAGAUUCUACCCAUAUUCUUAUUAAGAGUAUUCAAAAAAUUUGUUCCAGAGAUUGUUCUAUGUACUCCAUGACAAGUCUUCACCGAGUAAUGUACUGAGGAUUAUGAAUGGUAAGUUGAAAUGAUAAAAGCCAGUGAACUAUGCAGUUUGGCCGUUUGUUAUUCACAAGACUAGGAUUGUUCAAAAAUUUCUUUUUUGGUUUAGCCGAUAAUUGUUAAUGUGAUACAACUUCGCUCGUUGUCUUAUUGGAUGGCUAGCAGAUUACUACAUUUAUAAUCCGAUAACCGAUAAGCCGAACCGUUAAGCAUAAUUAUCCGCCUGAUAAACACCCCUAAUUUGGACUAUUGUUUCUAAUGUCUGGUGCUUCUUUCAUCGCGAUCGCGACUAAGGAGUCACGUUCGCGGAGGCCUUUAUGGCGUCUGGCAGGUUUGUACUUCGCGUUGGCAAGAAUAGGAACACGUUCGUAAGGAUUUGAGGAGGCAGUGAUUCGCGAUAGCGAGAUGAGCUAUGCCUUUGCGUUGAAGGGGAGACCGGCUGGGCAUCAGGCGUUUUAGCCUUCGUGUUCGUGGUAGGUGGAGCGCGUUCGCGUAGGCAUAUGUUGGGUUGAUCAUCGCGUUCGCGAAUGGGAUGUCACGUUCGCGAAGAAGAGAGUAGCAGCUAGGUGAAUUUGUUCUUCGUGAUCACGGAGGUAUUUCCGUGAUCGCGAUGUGUAUACUUGGGCAGACCUAUUUAAUACUCUAUUUCGAGAGUUUUUUGUUAUUUUAUCAUAUUUUGAGUUAGAGAGAUCGGUUUUGGGCAAUUUUGGAGGAAAAUUUUACGAUUUGGAUAAAUAUUUUGGACUCGAAUUUGUUUAUAUUUCAUGAUUCCAACCUCGAUUUUAGUGUUUGAUUAAUGAUUUGAAUUGGAGAAAUUGGAGAUUUUAGUAAAAACUUUUCUAAAAGAUAAAUUGAUGAUUUGAAUGCCGAUUUGAGGUCGGAAUUGGAUAAUUUUGGUAUGGUUUGACUCAUAUCGAAAUGAGUGUUCAGAAUUUGUGAGUUUUGUCAGGUUCUGAGGUGUGGGUCUGGGGUUGACUUUUUGAGUUGACUUUUUUAUUUUAGUUAAAGAUCAAAUCUUUAUUACUCAGAAUCGUUUCUUAUGGUUUUUAUUUAUGAUAUUAAGUUAUUUUGGCUAGAUUCGAACUGUCCUGAUGUGGAUUUGUACGGGAAAGGCUUACUAGUGGAUUGAUUUAGCUUGUUUGAGGUAAGUAUCUUCUCUAACUUUAUGUGGGGGAACUAAUCCGUAUAAUUUGGUCUAAUUGCAUUAUUUGAAUUAUGUGAAGGAUGUGUACAUUAUUUGAAUUAUGAUCGGUUUAGAUAUUUAGGCUAUUAAUAUGCUUUUAACUAAAGUUGUUGUUAUAUGGAAUAUCUUUCACUGUUGAGUUAUUUUCCAUUUUAUUUAUUGUUGUUGAAAUUCUUGUACACAUUAUUGUUGAGCCAUGGGCUAUAUAUUAUAUUGAUAUUGUUAUUUUGGCAAUCGGCACGUGUGGUGCGAGUUGAUUAUUGUGUUGUGAUGAGAUGUGCAUACGGCGACAUAAGGGUGGUGAUAUUGAUAUGCAUGUGGCGAGAUAAGGGGAAUUUAUGUGCGUGUUGCUAGUAAGGAGAAUUACUUCAUUUUAAAAGUAUACGCGACGAGAUAAGGGGGCUAAAGCGCAUGAAGCUAUUUCGAAAAAAAUAUUUUUAAAAUAAAUAUAAGGCUCACGCGGUGUCAUAAGGAAGAUUUGUGAUUUGUGACUUGUGAAUUGCGAUUAUGAGGUGUGGUACCUCGAUGUGAUUCUUAUUGUAAAUCUUGUGUUGGAACGGCUUGAUGAUUUGAACUGCUGUUAUUUUCCUUAAUUUGUUUCACUUGUCUUUUAACUGUGUUUGAUUAUUUUGUUGUUCAUCACAUGUUUACUCUUCUUGUCAUUUAUUGCUUUUACUUCCCGUUGUUAGUUUUAUAUUAAUAUUCUGCACAAGUUGUCAUGUCUAGUGAGUAUCUUGACUUAUACCUCGUCACUACUCCACCAAGGUUAGUCUUGAUACUUACUGGGUACCGUUGUGGUGUACUCAUACACACUUCUGCAUAUUUUUGUGCAGAUCUAGGUAUCUCAGAGCGUGCCGGACACUAGCUAGUUGCUUUUGAGCUGCUGAGGAGACUUCAAGGUAUACCUGUCAUCCCGUUCGCAGACCUCAAAAUCACCUUCUGAUGUUAUCUUUACUAUUGUUUAUUUUCAUUCUAGAACAAUGUUGUAUUUAGAAAUUUCUAGUGUAUUCAGUAGAGAAUCGAUUUUGGGGAUGUAUGACUAUGAUCAGUUUCAGCUUUUAUUAUGUCAUUUAUUAGUUUAAGUUAAUAGCUAAGUUAUUUAUUUCUGUUAAAAUUUUUAACAUGUAUUAGGCUUACCUAAUUUUAGAGAUUAGGUGACAACACGAUCCUAAAGGUGAGAUUUUGGGAUCGUGACACCUUUUGCACGCAAUGAACGGUCAAUUGCAUCUUGAAGCAUAGAUUCACCCGAGAGAUGUGUGAUCCACUCCACCAAAUUUCCCUU
rnacentral:lncRNA from 1 species